UACGUAGGUGGCAAGCGUUGUCCGGAAUUACUGGGCGUAAAGCGUGCGCAGGCGGUUGUGCAAGACAGAUGUGAAAUCCCCGGGCUUAACCUGGGAAUGGCAUUUGUGACUGCACGGCUAGAGUGUGUCAGAGGGAGGUGGAAUUCCACGUGUAGCAGUGAAAUGCGUAGAGAUGUGGAGGAACACCGAUGGCGAAGGCAGCCUCCUGGGCCAGCACUGACGCUCAUGCACGAAAGCGUGGGGAGCAAACAGG
rnacentral:rRNA from 1 species